UACGUAGGGGGCAAGCGUUGUCCGGAUUUACUGGGCGUAAAGCGCGCGUAGGCGGGAGGUGAAGUCCGGUGGGAAAGCCCACGGCUCAACCGUGGAAGAACGCUGGAAACUCACCUUCUUGAGGGCGGCAGAGGGAAGUGGAAUUGCUGGUGUAGCGGUGAAAUGCGUAGAUAUCAGCAGGAACACCCGUGGCGAAGGCGGCUUCCUGGGCCGCCCCUGACGCUGAGGCGCGAAAGCGUGGGGAGCAAACAGG
rnacentral:rRNA from 1 species